CACACCAAAGUGCUAAAUAAUUGCCAUGAAAAUUAAUUGCCGUCAUAGGUAGGUCGUCGCUUAAGUCUUUUGUAAGGGUAAUUACAUACUACGUGAGAGUUUCUCUAUUGUCUCACUCAUGCAUUCAUUAUCUCCUCUUCUUGUGCUAAGAGAGUUGUUCUUCCCAUCCCCCUUCUCAUUAUUUGCUCCAUCUUCUUAUUGCACACACUUGUCUGGUUUUGUUUUUUCAUCACAGCAACCUUCUUUUGCUUAAUCUACUUUGCUUUACUUCUAAAAGUGAAAAAUCAAUUCUGUAAACCCAGAAGAACAAAAAAAAUAUUACAUUCUUUCAAUUUCGUUGUUUUUCUGUGUCUCUUGAUUUCAUUUUCUGCCAAUUUCAACUUCCGGUCGAUCAGUUUUACUUUAAAAGGAAAAAAAAUGGCAUACAUACUAUGUUCAGCUUCAUUUACGGACCGAUUGUACUUCGGCUUUCUGUAGGCAAAGGAGUCUGGAGAGAUAAGGUAUAAGUUAUGCUGAGAUUCAAGUCCAUCAACUAUCAAAUCUGAGUCGUACACGUUGGCAAUGACACACUAUGAUGCUAUGAGAAUCGCUAAUACGAAAGUCAACCCUUUGGUCAAAGCGGCACCUUUAGGGUCCUAAACCCUAAAAUCUUUGAUCUAAAGUCUACGAACUUCAGGUACAUGAACGUAAGUUUUUACAAGUCACAUAUAGCACCAACAAUAAUAUAUUUAAAAUUCAUGACAAUUCAACUAUCGGAUUGCCACUGUUCACAAAAUGGAAUGGCGAUCAAUUACGGUUUUUCCGAUCAAGCAUUUGAAUCUGGGAAAACAAUCCUAGAAUUAGGUUCGUACUCUAUUUUUAGUUAAAUUUUAGCUAAAAAGGUUACAAAGCCAUUUUAGGAGCUCCAUAAAAAAUUUCUAAUAUAACAAUAGUCUCUAAUUUAGGGAGUCAUAAUAAAUAUGUACCCUUAAAAGCUUCUUUCUCACUUCUUAAAUUUAGGAGCUCCUAGCCAUUUUGCAAUCCUAUAAAUAUGAUAGGGAGUGUGAUUGGCGUUGGAAUUUUUUAAAGGGAAAUUAUGUUUGCACUAAACUUUUGUCUUUAGAUACCUUUCAAUUUUAUUUAAGGAAAAUUAAUGAAAAUGGCUUGAAAACUUUGAGUUUUAACGAUAAAAACAAAAUAAAGAGUAAAGUGAAUAGUACCAGGAUUGACUUUUUAGUGUAAAAAUGUAAUUUUUCGUUAAAGUGAACAACACCGGGAGCUUUUCGUUAAAGUUCCCAAAUGUAAAAUAAUACUUAUGCUCAUAUGUAAAAUUACUAUAAAGGACUUACUAGACUCUUUAACAUAAUCUUAAUUUCUUUGACACCCAAAUUGAAGAGCCACUAGGGUUUGUAUACAAAGAAAUAUGUCAUCAAGUACAACUUUUUUAAUUAUAUUUUUACAUUUUUCUUAGCAACGGAAAAGUAAACAUCUAACACUACGUUUGGAAAAGUAAACAUCUAACAUUAUGUUUAGAUGAAGAAAUCUAAGAUUACUACGAAAUUUUAAAAUGACUGAAAUUAAAAUUACGGGAUUUUGUUUUCUAAAAUUUGUGAAUUUUCUUGUUUGAUUAACAUAAAAGAACAAUGGAAUUAAAUACGGAAUUUGUUAGUUUGAAACUCUCAAUCAUAGAAAUUGAGAAAUUACGCAUAUUUACGUAUAAUUCAAAUUUGGGAAUUGGAGAUCCCAAAUUCCAAGUUUUUUUUUUUUUCACACGAAAAUUGUAAAUUUAUAUGUUUAUAAAUUCAAACAAGGAAAUUAGUGCAUGUCAAUUUAUAAAUUUUGAUUUUUACUCAAAUUUCAAGUUUAUUUCCCUCGUUCAAACAUAGUUGGAAUUUAAAUUUUCGUGAAUGUGCUUGUCCAUAAACAAAAGUUGGGUGUAAACAAAAUUUCUCUUUUCUAUAUUCUUCCUAAAUUUUAAGUUGGGACCUUAUUUAAAUAGCCCAUUUUAGAUGCUAUAGCAGCGGACUUAACGAUGUCUCCUCCCUCUUUAACCGGCUAAGAGAGUUUCAUUCAGCCUCUUUUGGACUUUAUGGAUUUAUGUUGUCUCACAACUUAAAUCCAUGGGCCCCAAUUUGGUCUAGGCCCAAUGAACUUUGAAAUCCGUGACUAAUUUCAAACCCAAAUGAAUUCCCAAUGUUUGUACUUUGUAGGAUUAAUCGACUUUUAUUUCAAUCUCUUCAUUUAAUGAAUUAACUAUUUUAAUUGAUCUUAACUAUUCCAACAAAUAAAAAAUAUUGAUCUUAACUAUCCUUGUUAAUUUCUUCAAUCUAUUUCUCAAACGGGUGUAUGAUCUAUAAUAUUUUAAUUAGCAAGGCAGUGAGUAAUACCUUUUUCUUCAAAGAUUAGUAAAUUAAAAUAAACUCUAAUUCUCACAAGUCACGAAUGAUACCAAGUAGUAUGUUAUUAUUAUCAAAAUUUAUUUAGUUAAAUUACAAUACAAUACAAUCUUUCUCUCAAAUCAAUACUCUGUCACAUUGAUUUAGGCUAUCAUGUCGUAGGCCUAAGGCGAUCCAUCUAUGAUUUUCUUAAAUGUGAUUAUCAUUUCUCAUUGUUUUUCUUUUUCUUUUCUUUUUUGUCAAACAUUGUUUUUCUUACAGUACUAUUUUUUAGUGCAAUGAGAUGAGACCAAAUCUUGACGUAUUAGUUGCAACGCAAUAAUUGCAUAUGGUUGCGGCAACUUUGAGUUUUUUUGUAUAUUAACAUAUUAUAUACAAAAAGAGUUGUUAUUGACAAUCUAAAAGGCGUCAUGUUGUAUGUUAUUAAAUAAUAUCCACUAUUAUUGUCACGCCUUAGAUUUAGAAUCGGCGGAACAAUUAAAGUCCCGAACUCGAUGCGUGGAUAAAAAAGAAAAUAAAAAAGAAAAAGAAAACAAACAUCUCUUAAAUUACAUUGCAAAAUUUUCUCUA